rnacentral:rRNA from 1 species
UACGUGAAACCGUUCAGGGGUAAACGGGAGAAAUCCUGAAUUCGAAGGGGAUUGGAUUCAUUUCCGUCCGGUGCGCAGGCCACCUGGCCCCACCAGAUGGCGCUGGUCGCCCACGGCGAUUCAUUUCGCUUGUGGUGUCGUUCCUGGCGAUCACUCGGUGGAGUGGUGUUUGCUCUGUCACCGGAGGAGUGCACUUCCUCCCUUGUAGAAACGUCGCGACCCGUUGGGUGCCGGUCUAAGGCCUGGGAUGGCAGACCACGUUUCCUGUAAGUUUCUUACAGGUGCGUGGACACCUGGUGACCCGGCCGGCUGCCCGACGGUAUGACCAGAGGAGUCGAUCCGCUAAAUGGGAAACACUAUGGUUGUGUAGCGUCCGGCCCGGCGCCGACACGUGCGGGGAAUGUGGUGUAAACCGGGGGUGUCCGUGCAGAAGCACGGCCCCGGCCCCGUGUCGUUGUUGGAUAUGUCGGUGUCCUCGGACUGGAUCAGUACUCCCGUCGGCGACGCCCACCUUCGGAUGG